rnacentral:rRNA from 1 species
GCUAUACAUGCAAGUCGAGCGGACCGAAAAGAAGCUUGCUUCUAUUCGGUUAGCGGCGGACGGGUGAGUAACACGUGGGCAACCUGCCCGCAAGACCGGGAUAACUCCGGGAAACCGGAGCUAAUACCGGAUAACACCGAAGACCGCAUGGUCUUGGGUUGAAAGGCGGCGCAAGCUGCCACUUGCGGAUGGGCCCGCGGCGCAUUAGCUAGUUGGUGAGGUAACGGCUCACCAAGGCGACGAUGCGUAGCCGGCCUGAGAGGGUGACCGGCCACACUGGGACUGAGACACGGCCCAGACUCCUACGGGAGGCAGCAGUAGGGAAUCUUCCGCAAUGGGCGAAAGCCUGACGGAGCGACGCCGCGUGAGCGAAGAAGGCCUUCGGGUCGUAAAGCUCUGUUGUGAGGGACGAAGGAGCGCCGUUUGAAGAAGGCGGCGCGGUGACGGUACCUCACGAGGAAGCCCCGGCUAACUACGUGCCAGCAGCCGCGGUAAUACGUAGGGGGCGAGCGUUGUCCGGAAUUAUUGGGCGUAAAGCGCGCGCAGGCGGUCCCUUAAGUCUGAUGUGAAAGCCCACGGCUCAACCGUGGAGGGUCAUUGGAGACUGGGGGACUUGAG